rnacentral:lncRNA from 1 species
GUUCCAAACAUUAUUGCUCAGUUGAUAUGUGUCCUUCUGAUGCGGUACGAGCACAUGCACUUGUUUCUAUCCAUAGGAAGGUCGAUUAUCCAUAUAAAUAGUUUUAUAUGGAUAGUCGACCUUCCUAUGGAUAGAAACAAGUGCAUGUGGGUACGAGAUAACUACAAUUCUCAUGCAAUCCCGAAAAGGGGGGUCAUCACAGACAAACAUGACAUUAAAUCGUUAUCACUGAACUAGUAUAUAUAUUGUAUAGGGGCCAGCUGAAGGACGCCUCCGGGUGCAGGAAUUUUUCGCUGCAUUGAAGACCUGUUGGUGACCUUAAUUCUGCUGUGGUAUGUUUUUCUAUGGUCGGGUUGUUGUCUCUUUGACAAAUUCCCCAUUUCCAUUCUCAAUUUUAUUAUACGAAGAAGAACAAACAGCUCUACGUUGCUUUGAUAUUUA